AUGAGCAUCCGAGGCAUGCUGCGGGCCGCCGUGCUGCUGCUGCUCAUCCGGACCUGGCUAGCGGAGGGCAGCGCCCCCAACCCCACCGCCAGGUUCGAAUUCCACCACACGCCUGUUCCCGACGUCAGCCAGGACCUCUUCCAGUGCAAAAACUGCGCCAGUGAAGCCGUGGUUCACACGGUUUUGGAGAGAGUGUUGACGGGGUAUGACGUCCGUCUGAGACCAAAUUUUGGAGGUGAUCCCAUACCUGUGGGCAUAUCCAUCUACAUCACCAGGAUUGAACAGAUCUCAGAAAUGAAUAUGGACUAUACAAUCACCAUGUUCUUUCAUCAGACCUGGAAAGACCCCCGUUUAGCCUACUACGAGACCAACCUGAACCUGACAUUGGACCACCGGAUGCUCGACAAGCUGUGGGUCCCUGACUGCUACUUCCUGAACAGCAAGGACGCCUACGUGCAUGAUGUGACUGUGGAGAACCGUGUGUUUCAGCUUCACCCCGAUGGAACAGUGCGUUACGGCAUCAAACUCACCACCACUGCAGCGUGCUCCCUGGACCUGAAGAAAUUCCCUCUCGACAAGCAGGCCUGCAAGCUGGAAAUCGAGAGCUAUGGCUACACGGUUGAGGACAUCAUCUUAUUCUGGGAAGACGAUGAGCAAGCGAUCCACGGGACCGAGGAGCUCCACAUCCCUGAUUUCAGUUUCCUGGGCAAGACGGUGACAAUCAAGGAGGUGUACUUUUACACAGGCUCCUACAUGCGCCUGAUUCUGAGGUUCCAGGUCCAGAGGGAAGUGAACAGCUUCCUGGUACAGAUCUACUGGCCCACGGUCCUCACCACUGUGCUCUCCUGGCUGUCCUUUUGGAUGAACUGCGACUCUUCUGCUGCCAGGGUGACUGUGGGCUUGACUUCGAUGCUCAUCCUGACCACCAUCGACUCGCAUGUGAGGAACAAAUUGCCACAGGUGUCCUGUGUCAAGGCUAUCGACAUCUACAUCAUCGUGUGCUUCUUCUUUGUCUUCUUUUCCCUGAUGGAGUACGUCUACAUCAACUACCUAUUCUACAGCCGAGGGCCUCGGCGCCAUCACAGACGGCACAGGCGAGCCCGGAGGGUCAUCAAUCGCUACCGCUACCGGGAACUGGCGGUGCAGGACACGCAGCCCCCUGUGCCCCAGAGUCCCCAGGAGGAGAUGGUGGAGUUUGUCAAAGAGACUGACGAUGACGACGACAACAACAACGACAACAACGAUGACACUGAAAGUGCCGGGGAGACCUGCCAGCCUGGUGCCGAGGAUGAUGAUGGAGAGCUGACCAGUAUGGAAGACGACAUCAACUCUCUCCUCUCUGUCCCUGCUCUGGCCCGCCUGGCAAGUCCUGAGAGCUUCAGUUCUCUGUCCUCCUCACCAGAGCGAGCCCGGCUGGCCUCCUCAGAAAGCCUCAGCUCCCUCUGCUCCUCGUCCAGCCAGAGCUCCGAGGAGAGCCUCGACGAGCUCUCCUCUAGCUCGGCGCAGGCCCUGCUCCUCUAUGACGUCCUGUCCGACAUCCGCAACCGUGCCGAGGCCCGCAGCCAGGAUGAUCUGGAUGACAGCUCCAGCUCGGAUGAGAGCCAGGGCGCUGCUGAGCAGCCUCUGCUCGGCAGUGGCCCGCGGUGCGUGCAAGUAGUGAGUGGGGACCUGGAUGAGCUCUGCAGCCUGCCCGAUGAUGCCAGUGUCGAGAGUGGCUGCUCUUCCCCAGAUGAGAAUCCCCAGGGUGGUGAUGAUGGAGUCUUGAGCCUAGAGGAGGAGGAGAUCCUGGUCUGUGUUCAAGAGGAGGAUAGCGACUCCGAGUCUGGCGACAGUCACCCCCUGAGCCUGGGCUGCUCCUUCCACGGAGAGCUCUCCUUUAAGCUCUUCAAUCCCGAUUACGUCCCUAAGGUUGACCAGUGGUCCCGCUUCCUCUUCCCUCUGGCCUUUGGGCUGUUUAAUAUUGCCUACUGGGCCUACCAUAUCAACUAGACCCCCAGCGCCUGGCCCAUGCAGGGGAGCCCAGCUCUGCACCCAACACGGCUCCCUUGGGCCCCACUGUUGCUUCUUUUCCUGAGUCCAACCCCUCCCUCUGCUAUUCCCUGGGCAGGCAUAGGGGGUGGGGAGUCCUUGGCUGCAAAGGAAGGGUGUGGAGGGGAGCUAGGAGCAGAUAGAACACUAUUCUCUUUCCUGCCAGAAGCAGUUUCCCUUUGCAAAGCUUUCUACUGCCAGGAAGCUCAGAAAAGUCCCAAGAAAUGUUCAGAGGACCACAAGAAACAGGUUGGCAGGCAGAAAAUGGAUGUGACACAUUUCUGAGGGCUUCUCUGUCCCUCUGAGGUGUCCAACUGCCUUUUUCAUUACUUUACUUCCUCUGUGCUCACCCCCUAGGCCCCUUCCCACCUCCUGCUCCGGGCUUUAUGGGAGACUUGGGCUGGGUUGGGCUAGGGGACCCCAGGGAAACGACUGGCCAGGCUUGGAAAGACAGUGAGCUGGCUGUCAGAACUACCGGGGACAGUUGUAAGUGCCUUUCCCCAUUCCCCACCCCUUGUUCUGUUUGGAGUGUGGCAUUGAGGGGUGUGGGGAGUUGGAGGUACAGAGGGAGAUGUCAGGGAAUGUGAGAGAGCAGGCUUCUAGCGGGUCCCAGAAACUAGGAGAAGCAUUGGAGCUCUCUCUCAGCUUCCAAAUGCUACCAGGAGGGAGCCCUGCCUCUGUCUCCCUCAGUCAGCUCUGUCCCCGCUGCGCUGGUCCCUGGUCGCAGAGGAAGCCUGAGCUAGGAGAGUAAUUGGACAAUUGUCCGGAAUCCCUCUACUAACCUUUUUGAUUUGUCUAGUAAGUGCCAUCGAGCUCGCUGACCUGCCCCUUCGCUGGACUGUCAUAGAAGCCCACUAUCCCCACUGCUUCACAUUUGAGGACACGCAGCCGUGUCAUUCACAGAGCUGAAGGUGUUCAAGUGCAGUGCGGCUGGCUGUGGGACUGGACAUCAGGUGCCACCUUCUCACUGUCUCCCUGGUCCCAGCUCCCUCUGAAGAAAGCUUGGGACCGAGGCAGUAUAGUUCGGGAGCCAGAUGGUUCCAUAAGAACACGCACACGCACAGAUGCUGGGCAGCGAAAGCCCAGAAAAGAGCGGGAAGAUCAACACGCAAAUGUCGUGGACAUCCUGACCCACAAAGGGCCCUCUGUGGCAUCUUUCAGUAUAUUCGUUCACUAGCAGCAAGGCAGACCUUGACCACUCCCGACCCCCAAACGUAACACAUGACCAAGAUCUCACUUCUGACAAGUACACUCAGAUAAACUCUUGUAAAUAGAAAAAGGGGAAAUAAAUAUCUCUAUAAUGGCAAAUGA